rnacentral:rRNA from 1 species
UGGGAAUAUUGCACAAUGGGCGCAAGCCUGAUGCAGCCAUGCCGCGUGUGUGAAGAAGGCCUUCGGGUUGUAAAGCACUUUCAGCGAGGAGGAAGGUGGUGAACUUAAUACGUUCAUCAAUUGACGUUACUCGCAGAAGAAGCACCGGCUAACUCCGUGCCAGCAGCCGCGGUAAUACGGAGGGUGCAAGCGUUAAUCGGAAUUACUGGGCGUAAAGCGCACGCAGGCGGUUUGUUAAGUCAGAUGUGAAAUCCCCCGGGCUCAACCUGGGAACUGCAUUUGAAACUGGCAAGCUAGAGUCUCGUAGAGGGGGUAGAAUUCCAGGUGUAGCGGUGAAAUGCGUAGAGAUCUGGAGGAAUACCGGUGGCGAAGGCGGCCCCCCUGGANGAAGACUGACGCUCAGGUGCGAAAAGCGUGGGGAGCAAAACAGGAUUAGAUACCCUGGUAGUCCACGCUGUAAAACGAUGUCGAUUUGGAGG